rnacentral:rRNA from 1 species
AAAAACAUGUCUGUUUGGAGAUAUAAGAAGUUUGACCUGCCCACUGAUGAAUAAUUUAAAGGGCCGCAGUAUCCUGACUGUGCAAAGGUAGCAUAAUCGUUAGUUUUUUAAUUGGAAUCUUGUAUGAAUGGUUUGACAAAAAAAAAUCUGUCUUUAUGAUUAUUUAUUGAAUUUAACUUUUAAGUGAAAAGGCUUAAAUAAGUUAAAAAGACGAUAAGACCCUAUAAAGCUUAAUAUUAAACAUUUUAUUAAAUAAAAUUUUAAAUGAUAUAAAGAUUUAGUGAUUGAAUUUUAUUUUAUUGGGGUGAUAAUGGUAAAAUAAUUAAUAACUGUUAAUUUUUUAAAGACAAAAAUAAAUGAAUAAAAGUUUAUUUAUAAAUGAUCCUGUAUUAAAGAUUAAAAGUUUAAGUUACUUUAGGGAUAACAGCGUUAUUUUUUUUGAGAGUUCUUAUCGAGAAAAAAGUUUGCGACCUCGAUGUUGAAUUAAAAUAUCUAUAUAAUUGCAGUAGUUAUAUAAGAAGGUCUGUUCGAC